rnacentral:rRNA from 1 species
GUGUGAAAAACUCCGGUGGUACAAGAUGGACCCGCGUCUGAUUAGCUGGUUGGUGAGGUAACGGCCCACCAAGGCGACGAUCAGUAGCCGGCCUGAGAGGGUGAACGGCCACAUUGGGACUGAGACACGGCCCAAACUCCUACGGGAGGCAGCAGUGGGGAAUAUUGCACAAUGGGGGAAACCCUGAUGCAGCAACGCCGCGUGAGUGAAGAAGUAUUUCGGUAUGUAAAGCUCUAUCAGCAGGAAAGAAAAUGACGGUACCUGACUAAGAAGCCCCGGCUAACUACGUGCCAGCAGCCGCGGUAAUACGUAGGGGGCAAGCGUUAUCCGGAUUUACUGGGUGUAAAGGGAGCGUAGACGGUUUUGCAAGUCUGAAGUGAAAGCCCGGGGCUUAACCCCGGGACUGCUUUGGAAACUGUAGAACUAGAGUGCAGGAGAGGUAAGUGGAAUUCCUAGUGUAGCGGUGAAAUGCGUAGAUAUUAGGAGGAACACCAGUGGCGAAGGCGGCUUACUGGACUGUAACUGACGUUGAGGCUCGAAAGCGUGGGGAGCAAACAGGAUUAGAUACCCUGGUAGUCCACGCCGUAAACGAUGAUUACUAGGUGUU